rnacentral:rRNA from 1 species
CGGAGACGCUGGCGGCGUGCCUAUUACAUGCAGUCGAGCGGAUUGAAGGGAGCUUGCUCCCUGAUAUUAGCGGCGGACGGGUGAGUAACACGUGGGCAACCUGCCCUGCAGAUGGGGAUAACUCCGGGAAACCGGGGCUAAUACCGAAUAAUCGGUUCUUCCGCAUGGAAGAACUCUGAAAGACGGUUUCGGCUGUCACUGCAGGAUGGGCCCGCGGCGCAUUAGCUAGUUGGUGGGGUAACGGCCUACCAAGGCGACGAUGCGUAGCCGACCUGAGAGGGUGAUCGGCCACACUGGGACUGAGACACGGCCCAGACUCCUACGGGAGGCAGCAGUAGGGAAUCUUCCACAAUGGACGAAAGUCUGAUGGAGCAACGCCGCGUGAGCGAAGAAGGUUUUCGGAUCGUAAAGCUCUGUUGCGAGGGAAGAACAAGUACGGGAGUAACUGACCGUACCUUGACGGUACCUCGUCAGAAAGCCACGGCUAACUACGUGCCAGCAGCCGCGGUAAUACGUAGGUGGCAAGCGUUGUCCGGAAUUAUUGGGCGUAAAGCGCGCGCAGGCGGUCCUUUAAGUCUGAUGUGAAAGCCCACGGCUCAACCGUGGAGGGUCAUUGGAAACUGGAGGACUUGAGUACAGAAGAGGAAAGCGGAAUUCCCACGUGUAGCGGUGAAAUGCGUAGAGAUGUGGAGGAACACCAGUGGCGAAGGCGGCUUUCUGGUCUGUAACUGACGCUGAAGGCGCGAAAGCGUGAG